UAUAUUCUGGUGUUAAGCACGAAAAGGUUUGAAUUUUUAGGAAAUAGGAAGUACCUAUUGAAUAUAU
rnacentral:tRNA from 1 species